UACGGGGUGGGCAAGCGUAUGUUCGGAAUUACUGGGCGAAAAGCGCGCGAAGGCGGUUCUUCAAGACAGGAGUGAAAGCCCCAGACUUAGCCUGGCAACUGCGCUUGAUACUGUUGAGCUAGAGUGUGGAAGGGGCUACUGUAAUUCCGUGUGUAGCGUGGAAAUGCUAAUAUAUACGGAGGAACACCAGCGGCGAAGGCCGUCACCUGGACCAACGCUGACGGUGAGGCGCGAAAGCUAGGGUAGCAAACGGUAUUAGAUACCCCGGAAGGCCUAACCUUAAGCGAUGCUGACUUGGUGUCCCAGGUUUUAAGUCCGGGGGAGCCGAAGCUAACGCGUUAAGUCAGCCGCCUGGGGAGCACGGUCGCAAGGCUGAAACUCAAAGGAAUUGACGGAGACCCGCACAAGCGGUGGAGCAUGUGGUCUAAUUCGACGCAACGCAAACAACCUUACCUGGGAUAAAAUGCGGCGGAUAAGUCCUUGAGAUAGGACGAUCCGAGUAAUCGGCUCCGGCCUGCAAGGUGCGGCAGGGCGGUCGUCAGCUCGAGUCGUGAGAUGUUGGGUUAAGUUCCGCAACGAGCGCAACCCUUACCGUGAGUUACCAUCAUUCAGUUGGGGGCUCUCGCGGAACUGCCGGUGAUAAACCGGAGGAAGGCGGGGACGGCGUCAAGUCCUCAUGGCCUUUAUGUGCAGGCCUACACACGUCCUACAAUGGCUGGUACAAACCGCUGCGAAGUCGCGAGGCGGAGCUAAUCGGAUAAAACCAGUCUCAGUUCGGAUAGCAGUCUGCAACUCGUCUGCAUGAAGUAGGAAUCGCUAGUAAUCGCGGAUCAUCAUGCCGCGGUGAAUACGUUCCCGGGUCU
rnacentral:rRNA from 1 species